GGGCCGCCAUGUUGGCCCCGAGCCCCACCGGGACCGGGGAUGAGGGAUCGGGAUCGGGGAUCGCGGGAGCGGGUUCCUUUCCCCCCGCCCCCAGAGCCCACAGCAGCUGCGAUCCGUGCCGUAGCCCCUGGAUCCCUGCAAGUGUCCAAGGCCAGGCUGGACAGGGCUUGGAGCGCCCUGGGACAGUGGAAAGGAGAUUUCCUGCUAAGCUUGCAAGGAGUUUCUUCCCAUCCUUGCCUAAGGCAAGCUGAAGCAUGACAUUCCUUAUUCGCAGGCAGCCAUCCCAGCGUGCUUCUGGAAACAGCCAUCACAACACUCCAGCUAAUUUCCCUCGCUAGUCACAGGGAGCUGCUGAAAGUAAAAGAGGAUGCUUCGGCUUUCCACUCCAACCCUGCCACAGGCUAAAAAAGAGGAGGAUAGAGUUAGGAAGAGAGCCAGCAGGAACUUCCUCUGGAGCUUAGACACCAAAGAUCUACUCCAAGUCACAGUGCCACUUGGGUCCUUGGAGAAAAGUCAAGCCUAGACACAAUUUCCAACCUGGUGAUGGCUCCCUCUUCUUCCUCCUGAUCAUUCAGUCUGACCUCCCUUGGUUUUCCUGUCCCCCCCAUCACCCUUCUGUGCUUUAUCUCCCAUUCCCUGUUCUCCAUCUGUCCCACAGUACACUGGUUUACUCCUUUUUGCCAUCAAAAGGAAAACCCCAUCAAACCCACACAGCUCACAGAACAGCUCUGAUGGGACAGGGAAUGUUAAAUUUACGUUACCCCCUCCUGUGUUUUCCUCCAACAUACCUCUUAUUGUGGAGUUUUCUUCUGUUGUUACUGGCUUUUUAAUCCUGGGGAGCCUUGCUUCAGCAGGAACUCCUCGUUCUCUCGUGGCCUCACAGCUCGCUCUGAGCCAGAGCAAGGUAGCUCUCCUCCACUCCUGAGCCCCCCACGCCUGUGUCUGGCUGCAGGAGCCGCUUCCCAGCUUGUCUGCACACCCAACACUUCAUCAAGCCUGCAGCACUCAGGGCCUGGAGAGCUGGAAUCCUGAAGCAGUAAGAGCCAGACUCUUAGAAACAGUUAUUGCUGUUGUUUUGGGCAAAAUCAAGUCCCUGUCCCCUGCCUGGGGGGAAAAACAAGCAAGUGAAGUUCAAAAUGGAGGUCACAAAUGUAAAGUUGGCUUUCUUCUCCAUAUUUACACUAUAUUUUUGCUGAUGGAGAUACAUUGGAUUGUUAUGGCAGUCACUUUACAAUGACUGAGUAAAAUACACCUUUAAAAUAAAACCGCUUGCUGAA